rnacentral:rRNA from 1 species
AGUGAACGCUGGCGGCGUGCUUAACACAUGCAAGUCGAACGAGAACGGAUUAUAGCUUGCUAUAAUUGUCAGCUAAGUGGCGCACGGGUGAGUAAUGUAUAGGUAAUAUGCCUCUUACUAAGGGAUAACAAAUGGAAACGUUUGCUAAUACCUUAUACUCCUUAUUAACAGAAGUUAAUAAGGGAAAGAUUUAUUGGUAAGAGAUUAGCCUGUAUUGUAUCAGUUAGUUGGUGGGGUAAUGGCUUACCAAGACUAUGACACAUAACUGGUUUGAGAGGAUGAUCAGUCACACUGGAACUGAGACACGGUCCAGACUCCUACGGAAGGCAGCAGUGGGGAAUAUUGCACAAUGGACGAAAGUCUGAUGCAGCAACGCCGCGUGGAGGGUGACACAUUUCGGUGCGUAAACUCCUUUUAUAUGAGAAGAUAAUGACGGUAUUAUAUGAAUAAGCACCGGCUAACUCCGUGCCAGCCGCCGCCGCAG